rnacentral:rRNA from 1 species
AUCGAACGCUGGCGGCAUGCCUAACACAUGCAAGUCGAGCGCCUGUAGCAAUACGGGAGCGGCGCACGGGUGAGUAACGCGUGGGAACCUGCCCUUAGGUUCGGAACAACCGCGGGAAACUGCGGCUGAUACCGGAUGAUGUCUUCGGACCAAAGAUUUAUCGCCUUUGGAGGGGCCCGCGUCGGAUUAGGUAGUUGGUGAGGUAACGGCUCACCAAGCCUGCGAUCUGUAGCUGGUCUGAGAGGAUGACCAGCCACACUGGGACUGAGACACGGCCCAGACUCCUACGGGAGGCAGCAGUGGGGAGUAUUGGACAAUGGGGGCAACCCUGAUCCAGCAAUGCCGCGUGGGUGAUGAAGGCCUUCGGGUUGUAAAGCCCUUUCGGCGGGGACGAUGAUGACGGUAGCCGGAGAAGAAGCCCCGGCUAACUUCGUGCCAGCAGCCGCCGUAA